rnacentral:tRNA from 1 species
GGGGCUCAAUGGUUGAGCAUCUGCUUUGCGUUCACAAGGCCCCGGGUUCAAUCCCCACUGUCUCCA